ACAUAGCUUUUAGUUGUCUCAUAGUUUUUUAGUUGUGGUUUGUUAAUUAAACUGUAAAAUUUAAAACUUUAUACCUGAUGGGAGUGGUGUAGUGCAGGCUAUUUCUGGAGAACUUUAUUUCUGAUAUUUUGCUCUAUUCCUUUCUUUAACAUAUUUACUUUGUUGGUCCACUUCUCCUUUAUAUGUCGCUUGUUUCUUAAAGAAAGAAACAAUACAUACUUCUAUGAACCUCGAUGCUAAUUCAUAGGCACAACUGUGUUAUUGUUUCCUCUUAAGACUACAAAAGGAACUUCAUUGGUUAGAUUUCUCCAAGAGCAUUGUGGAAGCUGUAUCACAAGAUGAAUGACAUUCUUUUGAAAAAGAGUGACCAGCUUCUUUUUAAGAAAGCACCAACAUUUUAAGUGGAAUUUAUGGCUGGGCACACUAUUAGGAUACAACGCUGCAUCAAUAUGUAUCUUAAAACAGCGGCGCGUGUCCCGCCUUUUCUCAAGUAUGCUUAGCCAUCCCUCUGCUUUUGUGGUUAUUAUGGAUUCUGUCUUCACUCUAUUUUACCCUGUUUCAAAUCGUCCUCAGGUUAUUAGCUCAUUCAUAUUUAUUGGGAGAGAAUGAAUUGUGCUUCCGGGGUGCUUAAACAGUUUCAUCUAUGGCACAACAUAAAUUAUCAUUUGGAGUCGAGAUAUCCAUCAGUUCAACAACACAACCAUGAAGAUUACAUCUCAUCAGACAAAUUAAAGUAUGUUUGGAUCUCGAUGACCACCUUGAUGACAUCAGCAAGUAAGAGUGCUAUAAUAUAAUCGGACUGAACUCUCUAAUAUCCCCAUUCUUUCUAAAAGUCACAUGC